CACAGCAAAUUUUCAGGGGCCUGCCGAUGGUUUGUUGAACAGCAAAUUUUUAGGAGUUCUGCCUGAUUUUCUUACCAUGGUUAAGAAAAUAACAUGCUGGCAAUGAUUUGUGAGUAAAGCAUGUUCCAAUUCCUCUUGGAUUGGCGUGUCGUUUUAGUAUUUUUAUAAACAUCAUUUAUCCAUAUCAAGUAUGCUUAAUCUUGGUAUAUUCCCAUUUUUUCAUUUUCACAAAUCACUCUUUCUAUAUCGUUCACAGGCUUCUGAAGAUGGUAGGAGAAUUGUUGACGAAGAACGAACUAAUGCACGCAUGGAGAUUGAAAAUGCUAGAGCUGCUGUACAAAGAGUUCAAAAAGUACUUCAAGAGAAAGAGAACAGUUCACAAAGAAUUGGAAAGCAGAAGAGGAAGAUCUAGAAAUUUGCAUACCUAGAGGAACUCGCCUUCUUGAUGCCCCUUGCUUACAGAAGGUCGACAUCGACUGAGUACGAGCGGCCGUAGGUCACAAGGGGGCGUGGAACUGCUGCAGCCCAUCUGUGACAGAGCAGACUCCUGCGAAUUUGCCCAGCUAGGUACAUCCUCUACAUGGUAGCAACUUGAAGAAAAUUCUUCCUUUUUGCUUCCAUGACCUGAUAUCCUCCUCGCUGAUGUAUCGAGGAGCCGUGACCCGGCCUCACAGGAAGGGCCAGGGCGAAGACGUAUCCCCGACGGCCAAGACAUGGCCACGGUGGUGAUUUUUGAUGGUGAGACAGAGCAGACUCGAGCGACUUUGCCCAGCCAGGAGCACAUAAAAGAUAAUCAGCGUUUAUUCGCUAGCUGGAAUUAAAGGCAACGGCGAGAGAGCAAGAUCAAGGACAACUUCAAAAUUUAAGAAUAUAUGCAAGGUACGUGCCGUAUGACCGUCAUAUGUU